AACCAGUCCCCACCAAGAAAAUUAGAAAGGGCACGAACGAUGAUCUCGAACUAGGGUUCUUUCUUUCUUCAAAAAAAUCGCAAUAGAACGCUCUACAGCUUCAAAGGUUCUUUCUUUCUUCAAAAAUUACCUCUUUAAUUAAUCAACUUAUGUUUCUUGUAGAAUCAAAGAAUAUCCAUAUAUAUCCGGUGAAGAUCUAAGGUUUUAGGUUUCUUGCUAAAUGUACCUAUAUAUGUUCUUAUCAUUGUUUUUAAUUUUUGUGUUUGCCGAUUUAUUGAUAUAUGUUAGUCCAUGCGCCUUUUUUGAGGUGAUCCCUAUAUUUUUCUAACUUUCAAUUAAGGUUUUGGUCAUUUCUGAAUUUUUAUUAUUUCAGCGUUGGGUUUUGAUCUAUUUGGUUGUCUCGAUAUUGGUGUGUUACAUUUGAUAUGUGGAUAUGUGUAUUUAUGAUAUAUGUUUCCUGUAAGUAGGAGGUGUUUCUGGUUUAGGGUAUCUUGUUUUUGUUUAUGGGUAUUAAAUAAUUUCAGUGGUAUUUUUUUGUUAUAAAGUUAGUGAAAUUAUUUUUUUCAGCAUUGUCUUUUAGUUGUGGUAUGAUUGUUCAUAUGGGGGGGAGGGUAAGUAUUAUAAAGUUGAAGGGGAUGCAGGAAUUAAACACCUUUUGUGCCUUGUCUGUGAGGAAUUUAGAGUCCUAAAUCUGUAUGUUAUAGAUGAGUGUGAGCCUUCUGUUUCUGUCCUCAACAUUUUCCAUCAUACUGAGACAUAUGCAACUAUAGCAUUAGCUGGUACUGAUGAUAGAAGAAGAAGGUACUAUCUCAAGGCAAAAAGAAAUUUCUUAGAAUGCACAUUUAUUUUCAAGCAUUAAAAAUGGGGUACAAGGAGGGUCUGAGACCAUACAAUGGAUUGGAUGGUAUAUUCUUGAAAGGGAAAGUUAAAGGCCAAUUAAUAGUUGUUAUUAGGCAAAGCAAUAUGAACUACUUUUAUCCUUUAGCUUGGGCUAUAGUUAAUUUAAAAAAAAUAUAUAUAUAUAUAUGGACUUGGUUUCUGGAGCUACUUCAUUAUUCACUGAACUUGAAGAUGGGUGAUGGAGACACUUUAAUGUCAAACACACAGAAGGUAUUUUCUUUUUCUAUCUAGUACAAUUUCUAUCCAUUUUUUGUUUCUCAAUUUUAGCUUGUAUUAUUGAUUUCUUGCUUGUAGGGAUUAAUUGAGGCAGUCAAAAUAGUCCUUCCAGAAGUAAUGCAUAGGUUUUGCCUAAACAUGUAGAGGCAAACUAUAACAAAAACUAUAGAUAAUUGGAAAUAAAGAAGUUAUUUUGGUGGAGUGCUUGGUGCACUUAUGAAAAAGACUUCAAAAAUCAGUUGAAAAGUAUGGGACAGUUGAAGGAGGAAGCUGUCGUGGACUUAUUGAAGAUCCACCUCAGUCUUACUGUAUGGCAUACUUUGAAACUAUGUGCAAGAAUUAGUCAGUUGACAAUAAUUUGAUUGAGUCUUUCAAUUCUUAGAUUUUGGAAGCUAGAUACAAGCCUAUGAUUAAUAUGCUAGAGGAGAAUCAAUUGAGUAAGAAUGAAUAUGAACUUGGAAGUGUGUGUACAGUCCCCAAAGCAUGGAGCUUUAUAAUGACUAUAUGAAAAUAGCUUAUCAAGCUUGUCGAGUUGAUUUCAAUGGUGAUGAUGGUUUUGGGAUGGUGGAAGAGGUUAGCAAACACAUUGUCAACUUGCAGAUGAAAAGAUGCACAUGCAAGGCAUGUGAUUUUUCUGGAAUCCUAUGUCCUCAUGCAAUAAAGAUAUUGUUGUAUUUGAAGGAAAAUACUUUGAAGGAGAUGCACUGUUGGUAUAGUAAAGAAGCCUUUCUACUGACAUAUAAGCAUAAAUUACAGCCAGUACAUGGUGAGAAGUUCUUGAAAAUAAACCUAUCUCAACGCAUGGAACCUCCGUAAUUGAUGAAGUUGGCUGGCAGGCCUAAAAUCAAGAGAGUUGGACAAAAGGAUGAGGCAAGGUGAGUGGAGUCAAUCUCGGAAAGGAAGGACUAUGACUUGUGGCAAUUGUAAGAGAGCCAACCCACAAUGCAAGGGGAUAUAAAAAGCCAAUAAAAGGAAAGAAACUGACAAAGGGUAAGCAUCCAUCAAAUGAGGGGUAGACAUCCAAGGCUAGGAAGCUAGCUAAGAGAUAGAGAACUUUGCUUGGUCAAGACACUGAGGAUGAUGAAGUGAUGCAGUCCCAAUUAGAAACUAAAGAUGUUAGCGUAUCAGCAUUCCAAUGCACUGUCAGCAGUUAAUCCUUUGUGUUUAUGCCUACUCCAAAUGUGUAUUCUUUUUCAGAUUUUGAGUUUUCAACUUUUGAGGAUGAUCCUGAACCUGUAAUAAGACCCAAUAUUAUAUUAGAAUCACAAACUAGACUUCUAGAAAGACAGCAGGUAAAGAUGCCCUUAGGGACAGAGAAAAUCAAAUUCACAGGGAACCACACGUGUAAGUGAACCAGUUGAUCUUUCAUACUCACCUAGAAACUUGACAAGGAAUUGACUGGAAAUCAGUUGGAGAUACAAGCGAGACAGAGAAUUGGGAAGUUGUAGCCAAGAAGGGGAAUUUGAUAUUCUGCUUAGCAUGGAAGGAAAUGGAAGGACAAUCCUAUUUUGUUCUGUUGGGCAGUGAAAAUUUGAAUGUAAUUACCGCUAUAUGACAGUUUACAUUCUCUUUGAUUUUUGGUUGUGUUGGUGACAUAUGGAGUUGGAUGUCAUAAUAUGACUUAGGUUGUAUAAGUUUUUGGGGUUGUAACAAGGCAUCCACUUCUCCAGUUAGAUGUACUUGUCAAGCUUAUGACUAUCUUAAAUUAUGGGAUUUUUACUAUUUUAUA